rnacentral:rRNA from 1 species
GUCUAGUACUCAGAGUUUGAUCCUGGCUCAGGAUGAACGCUGGCGGCGUGCUUAACACAUGCAAGUCGAGCGAAGCAUUGAAUCUGAUUUCUUCGGAUUGAAGAUUCUUUGACUUAGCGGCGGACGGGUGAGUAACGCGUGGGAAACCUGCCUCAUAUCGGGGGAUAACAGUUGGAAACGACUGCUAAUACCGCAUAAGCGCACAGUACCGCAUGGUACCGUGUGAAAAACUCCGGUGAUAUGAGAUGGUCCCGCGUUGGAUUAGCUAGUUGGUGAGGUAACGGCUCACCAAGGCGACGAUCCAUAGCCGGCCUGAGAGGGCGACCGGCCACAUUGGGACUGAGACACGGCCCAA